rnacentral:rRNA from 1 species
UACGUGGGGGGCGAGCGUUGUUCGGAAUUAUUGGGCGUAAAGGGUGCGUAGGCGGCCUGACAAGUCUGAUGUGAAAUCCCUGGGCUCAACCCAGGGCCUGCAUCGGAAACUGGCGGGCUUGAGUAUGGGAGAGGUGAGUGGAAUUUCCGGUGUAGCGGUGAAAUGCGUAGAUAUCGGGAGGAACACCUGUGGCGAAAGCGGCUCACUGGACCGCAACUGACGCUGAGGCGCGAAAGCUAGGGGAGCAAACAGG